rnacentral:lncRNA from 1 species
CAGAGCUUCUUAUCCUUCACCGAGGUGUUUCCAUCUUCUCCAGUCCUAGAGGGUGAGAGGGACCGGUGCUCAGCUCCUUCUGCAUGACUGCCCCACGUAAAGACUGCAGCACCGCAGCAGCGAUGCCCAGGUGGUCCCGGCAGCCUGGGUGGUCCUGUACCUGGAUGUCUGCUUCUCACCUCCAUUCUGUCCUGGUCCUGCUGUUUAGUUGCUGUUUAGUUGUCUUCUCCCAGGUAGCAGCAUUGUGCCAAUUCUCUCCAGUUCUCACCAUAUGGAUUUCUGUUCCUCCAUGUCUCACCGGUGGCAUCGUAGGAAAAGUCAGAUCCCUACCAUGCAGGCUGGGGGGAUUGGGUUUUGCUCCAGAGGAUGCUCUUCGUCUCCCCAUGUGCCUGUACUCUUUGCAAUACCUGCCUUAAGGUCUCUUCAUGCAAAUGAGGCAUUAAAACCUGAUGGCCAAGCACUAAUUGCAGGGCUGCAGCCUCUGGAGAUGAUGCUCUGGGAAGCAUGGACCACAUCCUCGGGACAUCCCAGGACACCAAGGCAGCAGCGGUUGCGGCAUCAGGUUUAGAGCUGAAUGCUUUUAAUGCUGAACUAAGGGUGAAUUGCUAAGGGUGAAUGCUAAGGGUGAAUUAAUUAAUCCUACUAUCCCAUUAAGCCAGGGGGAACACCAGGCUGGGGCCCGGUUGUGCAGAGAGGAUCCGAGCUCCUACUCUCCAUGCCAGGAGCCCAGCUGGGAAUCACUCACCGUGAGGGGAGGGCACAAACCCCAUUGCCCCUUCCUGCUGCUGGAUUCUGUGUUUGUCCCCUCAGCCCUGGGGUCUGGACACCCUGUCCCCAGGGAUGCUGGGGUUGGUGCUGUGCCCCCUGUUCCUGUCACGCCUGUUGCGAUAGGGGCUGCCAAGCCAUGACAGGGGCAGGUACCCGCAAUGGGGACAGGUACCUGUCCCUGGAGCGCUGCCACCCGCCGUGUACCUGCGGAGCUGCCGAGCAGUGUGGCUGGCCGUCUGUCCCAGGAACCACAGCCACCUGAGGGAAACAUGACCUGGGUCUUGGCCCUAAAAGCUGUCCCUCCCUGCACCCGGGCUGGGAUUCAGUGGUGGGUGGGUGCGGAGCUGUGUGCUGGCAGGGCAUGGUGGUGGCAGUGCUCUGUCCCCCAGGGAUGUGGGAUCCCGUUAUCUUAUUAAGAGCGGCCAAGUCACCAUCCCGGAGUAAGUGGCUGGAGCCGUGACUAGACUACAGUAAUCCCGGGGGAUUAGUGCGUUCAGCCAGGGCCAGCACCACAGCAGCAUUUUUUUUCUUAGGUCCGUGAAGCUUCUCCUCUGCCUUCAGCCCAGGGGCAGCUGCGAUGCUUCUCCUCCUCCCUGCUUUGGGGCUGCUUUCUGGGCAUCCCAGAAAACCAGAAGAAUUGUUUGGGUU